UACAGAGGUCCCGAGCGUUUGUUCGGAUUCACUGGGCGUAAAGGGUGCGUAGGUGGUGAGGUAAGUCGGAUGUGAAAUCUCCGGGCUUAACCCGGAAACUGCAUUGGAAACUACCUUGCUGGAGGGUUUGAGGGGGGACUGGAAUUCUCGGUGUAGCAGUGAAAUGCGUAGAUAUCGAGAGGAACACCGGUGGCGAAGGCGAGUCCCUGGAAAACACCUGACACUGAGGCACGAAAGCUAGGGGAGCAAACAGG
rnacentral:rRNA from 1 species